rnacentral:rRNA from 1 species
GACGAACGCUGGCGGCGUGCUAAACACAUGCAAGUCGAACGAUGAAGCCGGAGCUUGCUCUGGUGAAUUAGUGGCGAACGGGUGAGUAACACGUGAGUAAUCUGCCCCUCACUCAGGGAUAACCGCGGGAAGCUGCGGCUAAUACGUGAUAUGACCACGUCUCGCAUGGGGUGUGGUGGACAGCGUUUAGUGGUGAGGGAUGUGCUCGCGGCCUAUCAGCUUGUUGGUGAGGUAGUGGCUCACCAAGGCUUCGACGGGUAGCCGGCCUGAGAGGGUGACCGGCCACACUGGGACUGAGACACGGCCCAGACUCCUACGGGAGGCAGCAGUGGGGAAUAUUGGACAAUGGGCGAAAGCCUGAUCCAGCAACGCCGCGUGAGGGAUGACGGCCUUCGGGUUGUAAACCUCUUUCACCUCUGACGAAGCGCAAGUGACGGUAAGGGGAGAAGAAGGACCGGCCAACUACGUGCCAGCCGCCGCCGUAA